GCCUACAAUGCAGUCGAGCGGAACGAGUUAUCUGAACCUUCGGGGAACGAUACGGCGUCGAGCGGCGGACGGGUGAGUAAUGCCUAGGAAAUUGCCCUGAUGUGGGGGAUAACCAUUGGAAACGAUGGCUAAUACCGCACAACGCCUACGGGUCAAAGAGGGGGACCUUCGGGCCUCUCUCGUCAGGAUAUGCCUAGGUGGGAUUAGCUAGUUGGUGAGGUAAUGGCUCACCGAGGCGACGAUCCCUAGCUGGUCUGAGAGGAUGAUCACCCACACUGGAACUGAGACACGGUCCACACUCCUACGGGAGGCAGCAGUGGGGAAUAUUGCACAAUGGGCGCAAGCCUGAUGCAACCAUGCCGCGUGUGUGAAGAAGGCCUUCGGGUUGUAAAGCACUUUCAGUCGUGAGGAAGGUAGUGUAGUUAAUAGCUGCAUUAUUUGACGUUAGCGACAGAAGAAGCACCGGCUAACUCCGUGCCAGCAGCCGCGGUAAUACAGAGGGUGCGAGCGUUAAUCAUUACUGGGCGUAAAGCGCAUGCAGGUGGUUUGUUAAGUCAGAUGUGAAAGCCCGGGGCUCAACCUCAGAAUUGCAUUUGAAACUGGCAGACUAGAGUAC
rnacentral:rRNA from 1 species